GACGAACGCUGGCGGCGUGCUUAACACAUGCAAGUCGAACGGAAAGGCCCUGCUUUUGUGGGGUGCUCGAGUGGCGAACGGGUGAGUAACCCGUGAGUAACCUGCCCUUGACUUUGGGAUAACUUCAGGAAACUGUGGCUACUACCGGCUAGGAGCUCCUGCUGCAUGGUGGGGGCUGGAAAGUUUCGGCGGUUGGGGAUGGACUCGCGGCUUAUCAGGUUGUUGGUGGGGUAGUGGAUUACCAAGGCUUUGACGGGUAGCCGGCCUGGGAGGGUGACCGGCCACAUUGGGACUGAGAUACGGCCCAGACUCCUACGGGAGGCAGCAGUGGGGAAUAUUGCACAAUGGGCGGAAGCCUGAUGCAGCAACGCCGCGUGCGGGAUGACGGCCUUCGGGUUGUAAACCGCUUUCGCCUGUGACGAAGCGUGAGUGACGGUAAUGGGUAAAGAAGCACCGGCUAACUACGUG
rnacentral:rRNA from 1 species